CCAGUAUCUAGUCCUUUGAAGCAGAUAAAUCAGGAAUGUUUUGGAGGGAAGGUUGGGUUGAGGGAAAGACCAACUAAAUUAACAUCACAGCAUCUUAAGUCUCAAGAAGUGCGUUUACACUAGCACAAAUAUUCCAGAUCGAGAGGACAAGAGGACGGAUUCCGGUCACUUUUUGCCGGUGUAAACACGACUGAGCACAUUCUGGAAUCCGUCCUCUUAUCCUCUCAGAUGCUGAGUUAGUAUUCCAGACUGAGAGGAGAGAGGACGGAUUCCGGUCACUUUUUUUCAGUGUAAAUGCACUGAGGACGUAUUCUGUUAAGAUUGCAGAACUCCAACUCCAACUCCAACUCGUAGCGUCUAAAAAAAUUUCGGAAAUAAUGUUUGAAGGGCACUUGUGCAACUUCACUAAUGAAGAAAGCAGGGUUUUAAUAUCUAUCUGGAGUGAAGACAGGAUCCAACGAGCACUAAAUGGGCAGUGGAAAAAAAUCUGUCACUACAGUCGUCACUACAGCAGGGCGUCGGCUUCUUCUUUUCUUCUUCUUUCCCCCUCAAAGUAUGCAUGCUCAGAGUCUGCUCCUGUGGGAAGUACCCCCCGUUCCUGUACAGACUGUCCCAGAAUCUUAUGGGAAAGAUUCCGGAAUGCUAGUGUAAACGCACCUAUAGAUUUAAGAAUGGAAUUGUAAUUUUACCAAAUACAUUAAAUUAUAACUAUGAAUUUUCCCCACAGAGUAUUUAUCAUAAACAUUUUAUCUAAUGCUCUGUUGAUCUGUCAGCCCGGAAGUUUGGUUUGACUUAAAAACUUUUAAACCUACAGCAAUAACAUUAUUUAUUUGUCUCAUUAAUAUUAACAUGCACUGAGUAAAAUAAAAUGAAAUUACAUUACAAACCUAUGCAUACCUAAGUUAAGCUAAUAACUUAAAGAUUUCUAUGAAUAUUUAAAUAGAUUAGUUUUAGCUAGUUUGUAGAACCACUAUAAAAUUUGAUGUUCACUAAAUUAAACUGCCAAGAUUCAACAAAAUAAUUAUUUUUUUUUACAAAAACGGCCAUCUGAGAAUCAAGAAGUUUAAGUUAAGUAAUGGGGAUCUUGACAGGAUAGCACAUCACAUUGGACACUUGAGUUAAUAUCAAAAGAAUAACAGUGCUAAUGACACUGUGGAGUAACAGUCUUUGGGCAUUUCCCCUGACGUUUCUGUGAACCAGGAGACUUCUGAAUUGCGUUAAGGACACGAGACCAGGGGAGGGAUUUUGAUAGUGCGCUUAUCCAGCAACUUUACCAGUUGCAUGGUGUCCAGAAGAGUCGUACAACCCUGUAUCACCCACAAGGAAAUGGUCAGUGUGAAUGGUUCACUUGAAUGACUUGUUGUGCACUCUCCCUCUGGAGAAGAAAUGCUGCUGGUUCGAUUUUCUCCCUGCUGUUUGCAUAUGACACCACAGAUCAUCAGACAACAGGCCAGUCCCCAUAUUACCUGAAGUUUGGAAGGUAACCCAAACUUCCUAUAGACUAUAUGCUGGGAGCAGAGAAGGAAGAGCCAAUUGGAGAUGUCGAGAGCACCAUGAAGGAAUACGGACCAUCUAUAAAGGAACUAAAUGGUGCUUGGAGGAUGCUGCAGCACAGCAGGAGAGAGAGUGUACAAACAGAAUGUGAGGGAUUCUACCUUGCAGUUAAGGUAACUGGUGAAUUUGAAAGAUCACAAUGUGCAUGGCAGGAAUAAGAUCCAGGAUGUGUGUAAUUCAGCCAUGUGUGGUGUUGUGCGGGGACCCAGUGAAUAAUUGGCAGUUUACAGUGUUUGUCUUGCAGAUGGGACAGGCCCAACAAAACGAUCAGCAUACAGUUGCCUGAAAACCACCAGUCCAUGGUGGAGAAUGGUGACCAUGGUCUAAAUGUUUCCGCUGCCCAUGAAGAAAUGGACUCUACAGAUGACUAUUCCUUACUGUUUGUGUUGGAUGAACCACAGGCAACACAUAGGACCCCAGAACAACCUGAUAUUGAAAAUCCAGAGCCAGUAGAAACCCCUAGCAGGACCAUUAGGAAUACCCUUGGGCAGUACUUGAAUCCCCAUCGAAUGCCAUGCACUAUCUUGCCUGGACCUAGUGUGACAGUUUGGGCGAGGAGUUUGGGGAUGGGGCAUCUCUCGAUGACAGCUACAGGUAAUUGUUUUAGCCAGAUGGAUGAAUUUUUGAUUUAAUCGUUCAGUCGAUGUUGAAUUAAAAAGGGGGUUAGAAUGUAGCAGAUGAGACCUUUUUACUAAUUACUUUUAAUUAAGUAAUGAUUGAAUUAACACUGCACCAUUCCCAAUAAUUUGCACACCUUUAUAUAAAGAGCUGUAGUGUCACUUGGUGAAUCAAGACUGGUUGCUGUGACUGCUUUAUUUGGGUCUCCCUGCUACUAUUGACGGUAAGAUUUAAAAUUAGUUAAUCUUUGUUUGUUGUGUGCCAAUCUCCCAUGUUUUUAAAUGCUUUUAUUCUGUUUUAUUGGUAUUUGGUAGGGUGAACAGUGAAAUGAGAGACAAUUUGAUCAGUCCGGUUCACCUGAGGUGCUGGUGGCAUAUGGGAGAGGCUGUCCUGACUUCAUUGAACCUACUGAAACAUAUAAUAAAUGUUUUUAGUUAGCAAAGAAGAUACCUGUAUUAAAAAGCAAACAUUCCUUUUCCAUUCCUUUGUCUGAAUUAAUUGUUAUUGUAUUGUUUGGUAAGGUUUAAACCACAUGAACGUUUGGUUGAAAGGAACUCAAGCGGGGGUCACACUAUAUGGAAGAUAUUUCAAUUCAGAGCUCUCCUUACUCCUGGUAUAAUUAAGGGGUGGCGUAGUCAAAAUCAAUAGCCCUGGUGAGAGGGGGCGCCACAUAAGCAUUUUACUAAAAGUCAUUUUCGACUGCCUCAUAUAAAUAUCCCCUUUCUACUUUCAACAAAUUAGCUUUUGGAAAUAUUCACUUCAAAACAAUGUGCUUAUUCUGGCUAGAUUCAGUACCGCAGAAGACACACAUAGCAUUUUACAUUGUCCCUGCUCGUGUUCAAUGAUAAAAUUUGAGUUCAAUUUAAAAAAAUCUAUUUUCUCUCUACACGUCUGCAUUUGUUGAAGAAACUAACAAAUAAUGGUUUCUAGAUGUUCUCAAUGGGAGUUGAUCAAUGUGUGUAUGUAUAGGUCGAACGAACUGACCUGCCACUAAAUAUUGAGAAACCUCUUAAUUAAUGACAGGGCUGCUGAAAGAUUGCUCAUUGUUAUGAGAGUGGAAACCGAUCCUGACAUCACUGGUGCUGAUAUACAGAUCAGUAAAUCACUCCUUAGAAACUGAAAUGGGCCAACCAUUUCCCUCAGGAACAGCUCUGCUUAAUUUACAUGUCCCUUGAAAUCCAUUGUUCCCCCUCGUCAGUGGCCAUGUUUUUUGACUGCCAAUGGUUUCUAGAUGCUCUCAGUGAGAAUGUCAGAUGCACGUUUUUCAAAGUGUGGGAAGACUAGUAAAAUAAAAUGCAACAAUACACUUUUGACAAGUACAAGCCAACCACAUUAAUACCAUCAUUUUUUAUUCUCCUUGCAGAGCGGUAGUAAACCUUUUCAGCCGUUGAGAAUGCUGUUUUACCUGCAGAGCUCCCUGAAGGGAUCAUUAGCAAUGAUUUACUGUGAUUCAAACAUGUUUACCUCUCUACGACGUGAAAAACAUGUCAGCAUGCCACAGUUAAAAGCUUGAAAGGUUUGAAAACAUUACCUAUAAUUUUAUUUUGUUAUAUUGCAGUCAUAUCUAAACCUGGUGUAAUUAUCAACACUGUUAUCUGCUCUUGAACUGCCCCGAUAACAAAUUGCACUGUGUUUUGUAUUGGCUCUUUUUAGGACUGAAGUGAUUGUAUUUUGUAUCUUACUCUUAAUUGUACUGUAAUUCUUGA